CCAGACUCCUACGGGAGGCAGCAGUGGGGAAUAUUGCACAAUGGGGGAAACCCUGAUGCAGCGACGCCGCGUGAGUGAAGAAGUAAUUCGUUACGUAAAGCUCUAUCAGCAGGGAAGAAACACUGACCUUACGGUCAGCAGACGGUACCUGAGUAAGAAGCCCCGGCUAACUCCGUGCCAGCAGCCGCGGUAAUACGGAGGAUGCGAGCGUUAUCCGGAUUUAUUGGGUUUAAAGGGUGCGCAGGCGGAAGACAAAGUCAGCGGUAAAUUUGGGGGUCUCACCCUCUGCGAGCCGUUGAAACUGGUUUUCUUGAGUGAGUGAGAAGUAUGCGGAAUGCGUGGUGUAGCGGUGAAAUGCAUAGAUAUCACGCAGAACUCCGAUUGCGAAGGCAGCAUACCGGCGCUCAACUGACGCUCAUGCACGAAAGUGUGGGUAUCGAACAGGAUUAGAUACCCCUGUA
rnacentral:rRNA from 1 species